GACGGAGGGUGCAAGCGUUGUUCGGAAUUACUGGGCGUAAAGGGCGCGUAGGCGGCCUGUUAAGUUCGGCGUGAAAUCCCCCGGCUCACCCGGGGAAUGGCGCCGGAAACUGGCAGACUAGAGUACCGGAGAGGAGGGUGGAAUUCCUGGUGUAGCGGUGAAAUGCGUAGAUAUCAGGAGGAACACCGGUGGCGAAGGCGGCCCUCUGGACGAGUACUGACGCUGAGGCGCGAAAGCGUGGGGAUCAAACAGG
rnacentral:rRNA from 1 species